rnacentral:tRNA from 1 species
GCGGGGGUGGUGGAAUUGGUAGACACGCUACCUUGAGGUGGUAGUGGCGCAAGCCGUGGGGGUUCAAGUCCCCCCUUCCGCACCA